UGUUUAGAUAACAUGACCGUGCAAGGGUAGCAUAACCACUUGUCUCUUAAAUGGGGACAAGUAUGAAUGGCAUCACACCCUCUAACUGUCUCUUUUCUAACCUUCUAAACUUCUAUUCAUGUGAAGAAACAUGAAUAAAAAAGAUAGACGAGAAGACCCUGUCGAGCUUCAGCUAUUAAACAUUUCUUUUUCUCAAACCAAAUAAAUUUAAAAGCUUUGGUUGGGGCAACCAUGGAGAAAAAAAAUCCUCCAGUCAACGAAGAUUUCAAAUCACUUACUAAACCAAAAAAGAACCAGCCUGGAAAACGGAAAAAGUUACCGCAGGGAUAACAGCGUUAUCUUCUCUAAGAGUCCUCAUUGACGAGAAGGUUUGCGACCUCGAUGUUGGAUUGGGGUAACCAAAAGGUGCAGCAGCUUUUAUUGGUUGGACUGUUCGUCCAUUAAAUCCCUACGUGAUCUGAGUUC
rnacentral:rRNA from 1 species